GGAGGUGUGCUCAGUGGUAGAGCCUCUGCUUGACAUACAGAAGGCUCCUGGUUCAAUUCCCCGCUGCUCCA
rnacentral:tRNA from 1 species